rnacentral:rRNA from 1 species
CGCGUAGGCGGUUUUGUAAGUCAGAUGUGAAAGCCCGGGGCUUAACCCCGGAAGUGCAUUUGAUACUGCAGGACUUGAGUAUGGGAGAGGGUAGUGGAAUUCCUGGUGUAGAGGUGAAAUUCGUAGAUAUCAGGAGGAACACCGGUGGCGAAGGCGACUACCUGGACCAAUACUGACGCUGAGGCGCGAAGGCGUGGGGAGCAAACAG